rnacentral:rRNA from 1 species
AAUGAACGCUGGCGGCAUGCCUAACACAUGCAAGUCGAACGAAGCCUUCGGGCUUAGUGGCGCACGGGUGCGUAACGCGUGGGAAUCUGCCCUUGGGUUCGGAAUAACAGCGAGAAAUUGCUGCUAAUACCGGAUGAUGACGUAAGUCCAAAGAUUUAUCGCCCAAGGAUGAGCCCGCGUAGGAUUAGCUAGUUGGUGAGGUAAAGGCUCACCAAGGCGACGANCCUUAGCUGGUCUGAGAGGAUGAUCAGCCACACUGGGACUGAGACACGGCCCAGACUCCUACGGGAGGCAGCAGUGGGGAAUAUUGGACAAUGGGCGAAAGCCUGAUCCAGCAAUGCCGCGUGAGUGAUGAAGGCCUUAGGGUUGUAAAGCUCUUUACCCGGGAUGAUAAUGACAGUACCGGGAGAAUAAGCUCCGGCUAACUCCGUGCCAGCAGCCGCCGUAAU